AUGUUCUUGCAAAGAAAGAAGGAAGCAGGAGGGCCAUUGUGCAAAUGGGCAGAUUGGAUCGAGGGGUCAAAAUCCCAAGUUCAUCUCCAAUUCCCCUCGGGCCUGGCUACAUCUCCUUCUCCACCAGCCUCCUUGUCCACCUCCGGCCGCCGCCACGGCCAGGCCGGCGUGGUAGGGGCGCCAUCCAUCUUCACCAUCCGCUUCACAACACCACCUCCUACCACCACAUCCGCCAUCAGCGCCUCGAACCAUCCAGCCACUGCCGCCAUCAGCACCAAGCGCCUCUCUCCUCUUUGUUGCCCCGAUCUUGCUCCUCUUCUCUCUCAACGUCCCCUGCUGCUGCUCCUUCUUCCACGCAACCUGCUGCUGCUCCUUCCUAUGCGCCCCUGCUACUCUUCUUGCACCCAAGCUACUGCUCUUCCUUCUCCAACCUCUGCUUCCUCUUCCUCAACCCAGCUACUGCUUCUUUCUUGUUUCGCCCCUGCUUCUUCUUCCCCUCGACCUCCUGCUGCUACUACUCCCUCUCUCCAUCGCCUUGCUGCUGCUCUGAAUCUCCCUCACCCGCUGCUGCUCUUCCUUCUCCAAACUGCUGCUCCACUUCUCUCAACCUACUACUGCUGCUCCCUUCUUGCCCACGCCUCUUGCUGUUGUCUUCUUCUCUGA
rnacentral:rRNA from 1 species